AGUGAGUGAUUCUUGUUAGGGGAAGAUGCAUAGUAAAGGAUGGUCCGGAAGCUGCUCGCAUUACCAUCCUCYACUCUUUUUAUGUUGGUGUAUGUCCUGGUUUGAUAUUAUUGUUUAGUAAUGUAAGUUUGUGUAGUUUUAGUUAAGCUAAGUCUAUGUGCUGCUUAUAAGAGUUUUUGUGUGUUACAUUGAUAGGAAUAUUGUUGUAAUAUGGUAUUGUA
rnacentral:rRNA from 1 species